UACGAAGGGGGCUAGCGUUGUUCGGAAUUACUGGGCGUAAAGCGCACGUAGGCGGAUAAUUAAGUCAGGGGUGAAAUCCCAGAGCUCAACUCUGGAACUGCCUUUGAUACUGGGUAUCUUGAGUAUGGAAGAGGUAAGUGGAAUUGCGAGUGUAGAGGUGAAAUUCGUAGAUAUUCGCAGGAACACCAGUGGCGAAGGCGGCUUACUGGUCCAUUCUGACGCUGAGGUGCGGAAAGCGUGGGGAGCAAACAGGG
rnacentral:rRNA from 1 species